rnacentral:rRNA from 1 species
AACGAACGCUAGCGGCAUGACGAAAACAUGCAAAGAGAACGAACCCUUCGGAGUGAGUGGCGACGUAGUGCGUAACACUUGUGAACCUGCGCUCACGUUCGGCACAACCACGAGAAAUAGUAGAUAAUACCCGAUAAUGUCUUCGGAUCAAAGAUUUACCGCCCUUGGAUGGGACCGAGUGGGAUUAGCUAGUUGGUGAGGUAAAGGCUCACCAAGGCGACGAUCCUUAGCUGGUCUUAGAGGGUGAUCAGCCACACUGGGACUGAGACACGGCCCAGACUCCUACGGGAGGCAGCAGUGGGGAAUAUUGGACAAUGGGCGAAAGCCUGAUCCAGCAAUGCCGCGUGAGUGAUGAAGGCCUUAGGGUUGUAAAGCUCUUUUACCUGGGAUGAUAAUGACAGUACCAGGAGAAUAAGCCCCGGCUAACUCCGUGCCAGCCGCCGCAGUAACAC